GCUUGAAAGAGAAAAGGAGGGAGGGAGGAAAGAAAGAAGAAAAGAAAGGAUUCUGUCAAGAACUGUAGAUAGCUGCUUCUCACCCUCACAUUCCUCUCAGCCAUCUGCCUGUGCUGGCCACCUCCUCACUCACGGGGUGCCAUGCCACUCAGGCUUGGGAAGAUGGGUGCUUGGGCAGGUUGGAGGUCACAGAGAGGACAGCAAGAAAGAAGAAUCAGGUCAGCCAGGAAGGGACACUUCUUUUAAUGUAACAAAAGUUCCUUUUUUUUUUUUUUUUUUUUUUGGCUUAAGAGUGAUGGAGAAGGGAUUUGGUUUGAAAUGGCAAACCUCUCCAAGCCCAUCUCUGAAAUUGCCAUAAGAAUUUCAGGAGAGGGAUACUCACGGCAGCACUGUCCACUUGACCCAAUCAUUAGCCGAAUGCUAGAACUCAAGGGAGAUUUCUUUAACUAUAAAGUCAGUGGUCUCAGUGGCCCACCCACACCAUGUGGCAGGAUGCAGAACAAAGCUGUGUCUGUGCUUCCUUUCCCUGCUCAGGAACCAUACCCUGGCCCCAAACCCAAGGGCAACUCCAAGGAAACAUCGGCUGAGCGGGAAGCUGCAGGAAGCCUGCUGUGAGAGGGUGAAGGCAGGAAGAACGCUGAGGGCUGCACUAUGGCCACUGUAAUUAGAAUAAAUUCCAGGCUCCUUACUUGGCCUGCACAACCCACCCCAGCUGGCUCCCACCCCCUUGGACUUUACCCCUGACCACCUCUCCCCUCCACUGUGGCCCUGGCUGUGCUGGCCUUUUCCCUGUCCCUGGUCCCAUCCCAGCAUCCGAUCAUCCAUCAGUGCUGUUCCCUCCCCUUUUUUCAUCCCACAGCAGCCAUCCUCCUCCCUCAAGCUUCCCUCACGUAUCUUCGGCUCUGAGCACUUUGUCUAGAGCAGACCCCACUGCUUCCAUAGCUCUGCUUCGCUGGCUUUAUAACACUUAUCACUUUCAGAAAGUACCUUUUUAAUUGAAUUUUAUUUUUAAACUUA